AUGUCUGCAGUGUGCGUGAGUGCCUGGGUGCCUGGGCAGGUGUGUCUGCACAGUGUGCGUGAGGAACCGCAUGUGAAUGUGCGUGUGUUGCAUGUGAGCGUGUGCAUGCCUGUGCGUGUGCAUAUGUGUGUGAGCAUUGUAUGCGUGAUGGGAGCCGUGGGUGCUGUGUGGACAGCCCCUCUGCCCCUCCCAUGGGCUCCCACAUCCAGCAUCCACCUGAGAGAGGAGGGAGCGCCUUCCCAUUCUGCAGAGUCUGUGUGCUGAGGCCUCACAGAGGCAAGUGGAGGAGCUGGGAUGUGAACCUGGGAUCCCAGGGUAGGGGGCUGCUUGGCUGUGGACCCUACCCCUCAGGAGAACCCAGGGUCUAUCUCUAGAGGACUCGUUCCAGGGGCGGGGGCCUCCUCACCCGGGGCUCGAGAAGCGGCUGUCUGUUUCUUGGCUUGAGUGCUGCCGAGUGCUCCCUGUUGCUGCGCCCUCCCUCCCAGGGAGACUCGAGCCCCUAGCUCCCUGUGUUGGUGACCCACCCCGUCCACCAUCAGCAGCUGGCUGGUGUCUCUGGGUGGCUGGGCACCAGCCUCCUGGAGGCCACGUGCCUGGGUCCACAUGGAGGGUCCCGGUGGGGGCAUCAUCCUGGGUCCCGCGAGUGAGGCUGGCAGGUGACCAGUCACACUGUGGCAAAGGCAGGUUCCCAUUGGGGGCGUCAAGGCCAGGGGGAUCGAGGCUCUGGAAGCUCAAGGGGGCUGUGGCCUUGGGGCCCAGCCGAGUUUCCAGCUGGCAGCCAGGUCCUUGAGGGAAGGGGUUUAGACAGAAUCCGAGGCCCCUAAGCUGAUGGGCUUCCCUGUCUCCCCUGCCAGCCCUGACUCACUGAACCUGGGGACUCUUUCCAGCCCCGAGAGCUCCUUGUCUGUGUCCCCAGCAGAAAGUGGGGUGGCUCCUGCCUCACCCUCUGCCCAGCCCUGAUCCAGGCCAGAGCCAUCUAGGGCCCCAGAAGGAGGGGCAGGAGGCAGGAGUGGUUCUGGAACCUGAGGGUUGGCUCCGGUUGGGUCUGUCCUCAGGGCUGCACUGCUGGAUCCCAGGAGCUGGAACAGCCCUGUGGCCAGGGUGACGGAAAUGCUUGGCUGCAUGCAGACACACCCACCCCGGACUGGGCUGUCCCUGGAGCCCAGACACAUCACCCUGGGAAGGGGCAGCUGGGCGCCCUGGUUGUGGGUUCUCCAGGGUCCCUUAGGGGACUGGGCCUCUCCCCAGGAAGGAAGGUGGGAAGCACAGGCAUGACCUGGGGUUCCUGAGGCGGGUCCGCCAAGUUGCUUCUGAGAUGCCUUCGCUUCUCUCCCGGCUGUCUGAUAAUGGAUAUCUCUGUUCUAAUUCCACUCUGGCUAAACUGAAAGUAAAGACCCUUAAGCUUACAUGUGUCUACCCCUCAGAGUCAGAAUAAAAACAAAAGCGCCUGAGUGUCCAGCAGGCAUGAG